CGCGUAGGCGGGUUGGCAAGUCCGGGGUGAAAUCUUUCAGCUUAACUGGAAAAGUGCCCCUGAUACUGCCAGUCUCGAGGGAGGUAGGGGCAUGUGGAACUUCCGGUGGAGCGGUGAAAUGCGUAGAUAUCGGAAGGAACGCCGGUGGCGAAAGCGACGUGCUGGACCUCUUCUGACGCUGAGGCGCGAAAGCUAGGGGAGCAAACG
rnacentral:rRNA from 1 species